rnacentral:tRNA from 1 species
CGAGGCGUGGUUCGAGGUGCAUGAGGGCACGCCCCUGCGCGUGGCGGCGGUGCGUCUGGAGGGCGGUCCCCCGGGCUUCGAGGGCCAACGCUUCGU